rnacentral:lncRNA from 1 species
AGCUUGAAGACAUUCUGUAGCAGUGAUACGAAGGUGAGAGUGUCUGAAUUACCAGCGGGCCUUCAGGCAUCCUUAAGAUAAAAUGAUGUAUUUCAGUUUCAGUGUGAAUUUAUCUGACCCAUAGAAG